AUUGAACGCUGGCGGCAUGCCUUACACAUGCAAGUCGAACGGCAGCACGGGAGCAAUCCUGGUGGCGAGUGGCGAACGGGUGAGUAAUACAUCGGAACGUGCCCGGUAGUGGGGGAUAACCCGGCGAAAGCCGGACUAAUACCGCAUACGGCCUACGGGUGAAAGCAGGGGAUCGCAAGACCUUGCGCUAUCGGAGCGGCCGAUGUCAGAUUAGCUUGUUGGCGGGGUAAAAGCCCACCAAGGCGACGAUCUGUAGCUGGUCUGAGAGGACGACCAGCCACACUGGGACUGAGACACGGCCCAGACUCCUACGGGAGGCAGCAGUGGGGAAUUUGGACAAUGGGCGCAAGCCUGAUCCAGCCAUGCCGCGUGCGGGAAGAAGGCCU
rnacentral:rRNA from 1 species